rnacentral:lncRNA from 1 species
GGGAAUUGGCAUGAUUGAGUGACGCACUCUCCAUGUUUCUUCAUCCCUUCCAGAGAGCCGAGUUCUGUCACCACAGACAUUGGCAGUGGCACUUGCAUGCCCCUGGCAAGCAGUCUAUCCUGAGGUGGAGGAAGUUGCCCUUGAGUUCUGGCUGGUAACCAGCACAGUAUACCCUUUAAGCGUUCCAGAAGGAUUUUGAGAUCCUUUCCUAAAUCAAAGGUGGAAUAUUUGGGGAUUUGGAAAAUUGAGUGUCUUCAGCCAAGGGAUGAGAACAGCGCAUGCUGCUGCUGCUGAUUCUGUGUGCUCAGGG